rnacentral:rRNA from 1 species
AAGGUCCCUAAAUGUAAGUUAAGUGGUAAAGGAUGUGGGAUUGCACAGACAACCAGGAUGUUGGCUUAGAAGCAGCCACUCAUUCAAAGAGUGCGUAAUAGCUCACUGGUCGAGUGAUCCUGCGCCGAAGAUUUCCGGGGCUAAAACUUACUACCGAAGCUACGGCAUCAGUAAUGAUGGGUAGGGGAGCUUCCCAUACGGGUUGAAGCAUGACCGUAAGGACAUGUGGACAGUAUGGGAGUGAGAAUGUUGGCAUGAGUAGCGAGAUGUGGGUGAGAAUCCCACAGGCCGUAAACCCAAGGUUUCCAGGGGAAGGUUCGUCCGCCCUGGGUUAGUCGGGACCUAAGCUGAGGCCGAAAGGCGUAGGUGAUGGACAACAGGUUGAUAUUCCUGUACUACCGAUAACCGUUUGAGAGAAGGGAUGACACAGUAGGAUAAGCUAAGCACACUG